rnacentral:lncRNA from 1 species
GAAUAAGCCAUGUUGAGAUGAUGCUCUCCAUCCUCCUGAUCGAUUGGAAGUUUGCGAAUGUCAUGGGAAAGAAUGCUGCAAGGCAAAUGGCAGAUUGAUGGUGGCCUGGUAGGCAUUUUAUGAGCUUGCUGGUGUGAAUGGUUAGAUGAAGGAUAAAAGUGAUGUAAGUAGAGACUAUGUUACUUAUCUGAUAUAAAAAUAGUAUAUAGGAUUGGGGGAUUAUUGUUCUGACUUUUUUCGGAUAGGCUUGGGACGUGCCAUGCUUUUAAUUUGUUUAUCCUGUCCAUAGCUUGACAGUGCUGAGAACGUCAUAGCAGUUGUCCAAUGGUAGUACGUGUCAAAGUUAGAACAGACGUACGGUUCCUAUUAAAACUUUCCAUCUGUACUCUGCUAUUAUCAAAUCUCUGCUCUUUCAUCUACUUCUAAUUUCUUGAGCUGUUCUUUUUACAGCAAAUGCAUUUUUCUCUUACAAUGGCUUUGGAUCAGGAGGGUGAGGUGGUGGCAAUUAUUCCUUUUCCCCUGAUAAGUACUAGCAAGCAGCUCUCUUUCUUUUGGCUAUUCUCAUGCUUGAAAAAUAACAAACUUACUUUAAAGAACUAAUCAGUGGACAAAUUAAUUUGUGAUAGCCUUCAGAUACUGUUUACUAUGUUUUAUGGCAACUAGACACUUGAAUGAGAAGUAAUAAAUCAAGUCGUCUCCCGAACUACCAUAUGUUCAG